GACGAACGCUGGCGGCGUGCUUAACACAUGCAAGUCGAGCGGUAAGGCCCUUCGGGGUACACGAGUGGCGAACGGGUGAGUAACACGUGGGUGAUCUGCCCUGCACUUCGGGAUAAGCCUGGGAAACUGGGUCUAAUACCGGAUAGGACCACUGCCUGCAUGGGUGGUGGUGGAAAGCUUUUGCGGUGUGGGAUGGGCCCGCGGCCCAUCAGCUUGUUGGUGGGGUGAUGGCCUACCAAGGCGACGACGGGUAGCCGGCCGGAGAGGGUGACCGGCCACACUGGGACUGAGAUACGGCCCAGACUCCUACGGGAGGCAGCAGUGGGGAAUAUUGCACAAUGGGCGCAAGCCUGAUGCAGCGACGCCGCGUGAGGGAUGACGGCCUUCGGGUUGUAAACCUCUUUCAGCACCGACGAAGCGCAAGUGACGGUAGGUGCAGAAGAAGGACCGGCCAACUACGUGCCAGCAGCCGCCGUAAAAC
rnacentral:rRNA from 1 species